AUCUAUUCUUAUGAUGUCUAAGAAGUAAGAACUAAUAUUUUGGUAUCUUUUGUGUCACUUCAAACAUACUGAUUAAAAAGCUAGAGCUCAAGAUAAUUUCAUAAAUUGGUUGGGGACUUUGCGAAAGGCUUUUGUUUUUUAAGCCCCUUGCUCUUUUCCUUUGCCGCUUGGCAUACUUUGUAUACAACCUAUGUACUUUGUUGUGUGUUUUUUUAGGCAAUUAUUAUAUAUUUUUGCUUGCCUAUAAAAAAAAAAAGGCAGCUAGAGCUGGUUCUUUUCAUGGCUCUUCCUAUCAUUUGUUUAGUUUUAAAAAUAUUGAUAGGCAUUAUUGAGUUCGGGGAUAAACUAACCAUAUUCAGGUCAUCCUUGAAAUAAAAGGGAUGCAUGUCACUGAACUUUCUCCUUUUAUCAAGUAUUUUGCUUGUAUUGUUCAAAUUAAUGAUACCCUCUGAAGGAAAUGGAUGCUUCUACCAAAAAACAAAAUUAAAGUCUGGUUGUUCCCUAGAAAAUAAUUCAAUUUCCUCUCUCUCCUGUAGUUCUGAGAAAAGAGAAAUAUUUCUUAGAAGUCAGAGCAAAGGGUAUUAGAAGGCUGGCGCUUGAUCAAAGAACAAGGCCGAUAAGCAAACAGGGGUGUGCAUCUGAAAAAUAGCACACACAGAAAGAGACAAAGACAGAGAGAUGGGGCACACCAGCAAUGAUCUUCUGCACUUGGAGCAUAAGGCCUCUUCUUCUUCAUCCCUAGAAUCCACACUUCUUGUUUGCAAGAAUGGGUCAGAGUCCAAGUUGCAGAAACCUAAUCACCCUAAGGGAAAACCCAUCACUACCCCACUGCCUUCAAGCCAAGUUCUGGGAAAAGUGAAAGAUUUCCUAGGAGUCAUAUCAGAAGCUAAUAAAAAGCUGGAGCUAAAAAAAGAAAAAAAAAUGGAAUUAUAGAAUAUGCUUUUCCCCAGAAUUUGAAUUUGAUGCCCAAUUUCCUCACUUUACUGCAGUUCUGGGAAAAGUGAAAGAUUUCCUAGGAGUCAUAUCAGAAGCUAAUAAAAAGCUGGAGCUUGAUGCAAAGGACAAUUCCGGUAAGGACUAUGAUAUUGAGGUGCUCAUGGGGAAUGAAUCUGAAUACAUUGAAAUGGAUUUGAUGCUGGGUAUUGCUGAUCUGCAGACUCCUGAGGCUGUGGCAGCAGCUGAAUCUUCUAUUGCAGGUUUUCAACCAGUGGUUCCUCUAGCUGGUUGCAGUAGUGGAACAGAAUCUGAAGAUAGCUCUAAUUAUGGUGAUAGUGAUAAUGACGAUGAUGAGGACAGCGAUGAUGAUAAAAAUGAUGACAAAAAUAAUAAUAAAGCAUGCUUUGUUGUGAAACAUAAAAGAUCAAAGUCUGCUCAUGGGGAUUCUUCCAUGGAAGUGCCCCAAAAAAAUGGGGGUUCAAAAAAGCGGCCAAAGAUUGUUGAGCUCUCGUGAGAAUCUUAAUUAGAAAUAGGACAGUGAAAUCUACUCAUGGGGAUUGUUUUCUAGGAAUGAGAGGGAAACCAUCAGGAUUAUAAGGGUUGCAGCAAGCAUGAAAGGCAUUUCUCUGCAGGAAGGAGGGAGCUUUCUGAAUGUCUGAUGAGGCUGUAAUUUAUGCAGCGGUGGGAUUUUUGCUUCUCCAUUAAUAUCUAUCAGGGCAUAUGCCAUACUAGACAGCUAAUGGAGAAAACAGUCCUGUGAGUACCCUUCAAAUUUUGAAUGUCAUGGAAGCUUUGUGAUGUUUUUAUUCUACCAAAUCUGUUGUCAUUAAAUUUUCUACAUUUCAGUUUUGUAAUUAAAUUUUCCAUUCCAUUAUAUUCCCAAUGCCUUCCCAUAUACCAGUUCAUUGAGGUACAGAAAUGCCUUUGUGGAGCCUCAUUCUGGACUAAUGUAUGAAAUUUGGACCAAGGCUAAAAAUAUGAGGAGAUAUACACAAAAUCUGGGUGGAUACAUCCAGACCUGAUAUUUCUGGAUUUUUUCAUCAUUUAUUAUGAUUUUUGGUCUUUCCAUCCAUUUUUGAUUGAUAUAUCAGGAUUGUCCUGAUUUUUCGGCAGUCAAAGCUCAGUUGGUAGAGCUUUGCUCUUGCAAUUGGGUUGUAGCAGUUACGUGUUGGACUUGUACCUGAACCCGUGGCUCACUUUUUUCGAAGUAAUGGGGAAGAGGACCAAAACGUGUCAUUGAAAGACUUUAAUGAGACAAAGAUGGGCUAUCAAGAAUGUAUAGAGAGUUGGACAUUGAAGGUGGAAAGAAGAUGAA